AACGAACGCUGGCGGCAUGCCUAACACAUGCAAGUCGAACGAGACCUUCGGGUCUAGUGGCGCACGGGUGCGUAACGCGUGGGAACCUGCCCUUAGGUUCGGAAUAACUCCCCGAAAGGGGUGCUAAUACCGGCUAAUGUCUUCGGACCAAAGAUUUAUCGCCUUUGGAUGGGCCCGCGUUGGAUUAGCUAGUUGGUAGGGUAAAAGCCUACCAAGGCGACGAUACAUAGCUGGUCUGAGAGGAUGAUCAGCCACACUGGGACUGAGACACGGCCCAGACCUCUGCGGGAGGGAGGAGGGGGGGAUAUUGGAAAACGGGGGGAAGGCUGAACCCGGAAUGGCCGGGGAGGGAUUAAAGGCGUAGGGGUGGAAAGGUCUUUUACCCCGGGAGGUAAUGACAGUACCGGGAGAAUAAGCCCCGGCCAACUCCGUG
rnacentral:rRNA from 1 species